rnacentral:rRNA from 1 species
ACCCCACUAUCAACCCAACCCCCCCUAGCCUACAGUCUAUAUACCGCCGUCGCCAGCCUACCUUAUGAAAGGAACAAAGUGAGCUAAAUAGUCAUACACUAACACGACAGGUCGAGGUGUAACUUAUGAGGGGGCCUAAGAUGGGCUACAUUUUCUAACCCAGAAAACACGAAUAAACCAUGAAAUAAGGAAACUGAAGGCGGAUUUAGCAGUAUACUAAGAACAAAAUGCUUAGUCGAAACCAACGCAAUGAGGUGCGUACACACCGCCCGUCAUCCCUGUCAACCAACCAAAAACAUCCAUAAUUAAACACUAACCUAAAACAGGGCAAGUCGUAACAAGGUAAGCGUACUGGAAAGUGCGCUUAGAAACAA